rnacentral:rRNA from 1 species
AAUGUCAUUGAUUAUUGGACUUCACUGUCCUUUAAACUAAAUACAACUUUCAACAACGGAUCUCUUGGCUCUCGCAUCGAUGAAGAACGCAGCGAAAUGCGAUAACUAAUGUGAAUUGCAGAAUUCAGUGAAUCAUCGAGUCUUUGAACGCACCUUGCGCCCUUUGGUACUCCGAAGGGCAUGCCUGUUUGAGUGUCAGUAACUUCUCA